CAUCGAGACUCCUACGGGAGGCAGCAGUGGGGAAUCUUAGACAAUGGGGGAAACCCUGAUCUAGCCAUGCCGCGUGAGUGACGAAGGCCCUAUGGUCGUAAAGCUCUUUCAACUGUGAAGAUAAUGACGGUAGCAGUAGAAGAAACCCCGGCUAACUCCGUGCCAGCAGCCGCGGUAAUACGGAGGGGGUUAGCGUUGUUCGGAAUUACUGGGCGUAAAGCGCACGUAGGCGGACUAUUAAGUCAGGGGUGAAAUCCCGGGGCUCAACCCCGGAACUGCCUUUGAUACUGGUAGUCUUGAGUGCAGGAGAGGUAAGUGGAAUUCCUAGUGUAGAGGUGAAAUUCGUAGAUAUUAGGAGGAACACCAGUGGCGAAGGCGACUUACUGGACUGUAACUGACGCUGAUGCACGAAAGCGUGGGUAGCGAACAGGAUUAGAUACCCUGGUAG
rnacentral:rRNA from 1 species